AGCAUGGUGGUGGCAGCAUCCCUACGGUGAAGCAUGGUGGUGGCAGCAUCCUGCUUUGGGGAUGUUUUUCAGCGGAAGGGACUGGGAGACUAGUCAGGAUCGAGGCAAAGUUGAACGGAUAAAGUACGGAUAAACGGAUAAAGCCUGUACUCAGGACCUAAGACUGGGGUGAAGGUUCACCUAACAGGACAACGACCCUGACAACACAGGAGUGGCUUUGGGACAAGUCUCUGAAUGUCCGUGAGUGGCCCAACCAGAGCCCGGACUUGAACCCGAUAAAACAUCUCUGAAGAGACCUAUAAUAGCUGUGCAGCAACGCUCCCCAUCCAACCUGACAUACAUUGAGAGGAUCUGCAGAGAAGAAUGGGAGAAACUCCCUAAAUACAGGUGUGCCAAACUUGUAGCAUCAUACCCAAGAAGACUCAAGGCUCUAAUCACUGCCAAAGGUGCUUCAACAAUGUACUGAGUAAAGGGUCUGAAUACUUAUGUAUUGUAAAUGUAUGUAAAUGUAAAUGUAUGUAUCAGUUUUAAUAAAUUAGCAAACUUUUCUCAAAUCCUGUUUUUGCUUUGUCAUUAUGGGGUAUUGUGUGUAAACCGAAGAGGGAAAAAACAAUAGAAUCCAUUUUAGAAUAAGGCUGUAACCUACCAAAAUGUGGAAAAAGUCAAUAGGUCGGAAUACUUUCCAAAGGCACCGUAUGCUGAAUAGUAGCCUCUUUAAAAUGAAAUCAAAAGGAAAUGAAAACCCGCAGAACACUUCAACAGUGCCCUCCUAGCUAGGCUAUAUCAUGUAGUUUUCAUACUAAAUUUAUUUUCAACAAGUUGUGCACGUUCUCGUUAAACUUUCUUAACUUCAUCCGUAACAGAAACCAUAGGGGUCCAGAUCAAGAACAAACAAGCCAAACAAUUCUGCUCAACAUUAGGGGUCUAACUAGCAGCAGAUGCAUUCAGAACCAGAGAGCCCGGGGCUACAGCCAUUUUGUACGGAUCCCAACUCACUUAAGCCUGCAUGAGGUUUCAUUUGGCUGCCUUUAAAGGAAGCUCAGGGAACAACAGAAAGGCGCUGUGGGAGGGUUAAACUAAUGAAAAAUAAUGUACAAUAAUCUGCAACAAAAGCACUGUCUUGCCUGACUAACCCCUCACCUGAACUGAGAAUUUCAGAGUAAAACUACCAAGAAGAACACACUAGCCUCGUCUUCUAUUACAGGACAUUCUGCUUAUAGUGAUAGAGGUUGUGUGAUCUACUGCUUAUAGUGAUAGAGGUUAUGUGAUCUACUGCUUAUAGUGAUAGAGGUUAUGUGAUCUACUGCUUAUAGUGAUAGAGGUUAUGUGAUCUACUGCUUAUAGUGAUAGAGGUUAUGUGAUCUACUGCUUAUAGUGAUAGAGGUUAUGUGAUCUACUGCUUAUAGUGAUAGAGGUUAUGUGAUCUACUGCUUAUAGUGAUAGAGGUUAUGUGAUCUACUGCUUAUAGUGAUAGAGGUUAUGUGAUCUACUGCUUAUAGUGAUAGAGGUUAUGUGAUCUACUGCUUAUAGUGAUAGAGGUUAUGUGAUCUACUGCUUAUAGUGAUAGAGGUUAUGUGAUCUACUGCUUAUAGUGAUAGAGGUUAUGUGAUCUACUGCUUAUAGUGAUAGAGGUUAUGUGAUCUACUGCUUAUAGUGAUAGAGGUUAUGUGAUCUACUGCUUAUAGUGAUAGAGGUUAUGUGAUCUACUGCUUAUAGUGAUAGAGGUUAUGUGAUCUACUGCUUAUAGUGAUAGAGGUUAUGUGAUCUACUGCUUAUAGUGAUAGAGGUUAUGUGAUCUACUGCUUAUAGUGAUAGAGGUUAUGUGAUCUACUGCUUAUAGUGAUAGAGGUUAUGUGAUCUACUGCUUAUAGUGAUAGAGGUUAUGUGAUCUACUGCUUAUAGUGAUAGAGGUUAUGUGAUCUACUGCUUAUAGUGAUAGAGGUUAUGGUGAUCAACUGCUUAUGGUGAUCAACUGCUUAUAGUGUUAAAAUGCUUCUGCAUGGAUUUGAUCACUCAAAGAGGAGUGCACUGCACUGACUGUAUAACAAUCACUUGAGAAAUAGAC